rfam:Calocera viscosa TTFC12733 unplaced genomic scaffold CALVIscaffold_17, whole genome shotgun sequence.
GUCCCCUUCGGGGUGACAUACGAAAAAAUUGGAACGAUACAGAGAAGAUUAGCAUGGCCCCUGCACAAGGAUGACACGCUUUCCAGAGUGGAUGCGCUCCGGCGCACAAUAUUUAU